UGCAGAAUCCCGUGAACCAUCGAGUCUUUGAACGCAAGUUGCGCCCGAAGCCAUUAGGCCGAGGGCACGCCUGCCUGGGCGUCACAU
rnacentral:rRNA from 1 species